rnacentral:lncRNA from 1 species
UACGAUGUUACCUUAAAUCGGUCAUUUGAUCAAGAUAAUUUUCUAAUAUGUAUUGACAAAUGUAUUAGAAGUAAAAUUGAAACAACCACAGCUUCAUUUAAAAAUUACACCAUUUUCUCAGUAUUAUUUUUUCAGUAAAUUUUUCUACUUUUUGAUAUUCAUUCAGAUUUGACCUUUAAUGGUAAUUUUUCAACAUUUUACUGUUAAUUUGAC